UAAAUCCAUGAGAUAAAAUCCAAAACACACAAUCUCUUAUCAAUCACACAAUUAUCAUCACAUAAACAAUUCUCGUGAACCUUACAAACACAAUUCUCAUAAGCAAAAGCUCUCCAUUAAUCCAACCUAGAACAAGAAAGGGAGUAACGGACUGAAUCAAAAGGCAAACCAAAUCCCAAAAGAACUUACAAUACCUGACUCCUCAAUUAAACUUUCAUUGCUGUAACUUCUACCAAAAACCAUAAUACAACAAUUUCUGUUACUCAAAUUAGAACUAUGUGUUCAAUAUGCAUUAAGAACUCAACAGAAGCAAAAUCCCACUUCACAAAUCAACCGCGAAAGCUCAAAACUCAACAAUUUUUAGAUUUUGAUCACUAAAAACUUAAUUCCAAAAACCCAUUUAACUGUACAGUCCCAUAAUCAUGUUUGAAUCCACAUAUUCACCUAACGAAAAUUAAAACCAGACCAAGAAU
rnacentral:lncRNA from 1 species